AGUGAACGCUGGCGGUAGGCCUAACACAUGCAAGUCGAACGGCAGCACAGUAAGAGCUUGCUCUUACGGGUGGCGAGUGGCGGACGGGUGAGGAAUACAUCGGAAUCUACUUUUUCGUGGGGGAUAACGUAGGGAAACUUACGCUAAUACCGCAUACGACCUACGGGUGAAAGCAGGGGAUCUUCGGACCUUGCGCGAUUGAAUGAGCCGAUGUCGGAUUAGCUAGUUGGCGGGGUAAAGGCCCACCAAGGCGACGAUCCGUAGCUGGUCUGAGAGGAUGAUCAGCCAAAAUGGAACGGAGACACGGUCCAGACUCCUACGGGAGGCAGCAGUGGGGAAUAUUGGACAAUGGGCGCAAGCCUGAUCCAGCCAUACCGGGUGGGUGAAGAAGGCCUUCGGGUUGUAAAGCCCUUUUGUUGGGAAAGAAAAGCAGCAGGUUAAUACCCCGCUGUUCUGACGGUACCCAAAGAAUAAGCACCGGCUAACUUCGU
rnacentral:rRNA from 1 species